CAGAUUUAUACAAAUGUAAUGAUGGCUGAAAUAUCCCAUUAAAAAAAAAUCUUUUAAAAAAUUUCAAAGGUAUGAAUUCAGUGCAAGUAUAUAUUGGAUUGUUUUAGAAACAAGGCCUGUAAUAUGUAUAUUAAUGUAAGUGGAAGAGAGGCUUGUCAGCAAUGGUGUCAGACUGUCAGUUCAUGAUUUUGUUUUCAAUGCAGAAUGUUGGGACAUCUUUUUUAAUGAAAAUCUAGAUUCCUAACAAACCUUUCAGGACUUGCACACAUGUCCAAUUUCUAGUCAUUCAAAUUCUGGAUGAAAAAUAAGAGUUUUCUGACAAGUUUUCUCUUCAUGAAAUUAAGGGUAUAUAAAAGUGUUGUUUAUUGUAAUUGGUCAUACAUAUGUAUUUCUACAUGUAAUAAGAAUGUGUUCAUUGUUGUUUAGAUAUCAUAGGUAGCUGCGUUUUCAAUGUGUAUGAGCUUUUUUUACUUGCCUAUUUGUCCAUUUAGUAAUAUAAUCUAAAUCUUUGCAGCAUUCACUGUCAAUAAAAAAGACCUCCAAUACAG
rnacentral:misc_RNA from 1 species